rnacentral:lncRNA from 10 species
CGGGCGCUGCGGCCGGGCGACUGCGAAGGUGCGGGAUAGGGGGCCGGGGGCCGCGCUCCGUGACCGUUCUGGCGGCGGCGCUGAACCCCACAACAUCACCAGACGGCCGGGGCCAAGAGGGCGAGGGCGGGGGCGGGGGCGGGGGCGACAGCAGGUCCCCGCGGGGCCUGCAUGAGGAGGCUCCGGCGCCCGCCCUAGUAAAUCUUUCUUGGGCCUAGAAAACAUUGGUCCGACGAAGAAAAGUUGAGACUAGAUCCCGUUGAAAACUUGUCCUGAAAUCUCCAUCACUCCUGAGUUAUUGUCCCCACCACCAUCUAGAGUUUGUAUUUCUUAUCUGGGAAGAUUUUACCAGGACCUCAAAGACAGAGAUGUCACAUUCUCACCAGCCACUAUUGAAAACGAACUUAUAAAGUUCUGCCGGGAAGCAAGAGGCAAAGAGAAUCGGUUGUGCUACUAUAUCGGGGCCACAGAUGAUGCAGCCACCAAAAUCAUCAAUGAGGUAUCAAAGCCUCUGGCCCACCACAUCCCUGUGGAGAAGAUCUGUGAGAAGCUUAAGAAGAAGGACAGCCAGAUAUGUGAGCUUAAGUAUGACAAGCAGAUCGACCUGAGCACAGUGGACCUGAAGAAGCUCCGAGUUAAAGAGCUGAAGAAGAUUCUGGAUGACUGGGGGGAGACAUGCAAAGGCUGUGCAGAAAAGUCUGACUACAUCCGGAAGAUAAAUGAACUGAUGCCUAAAUAUGCCCCCAAGGCAGCCAGUGCACGGACCGAUUUGUAGUCUGCUCAAUCUCUGUUGCACCUGAGGGGGAAAAAACAGUUCAACUGCUUACUCCCAAAA